rnacentral:misc_RNA from 1 species
CUCUUUACAAAUUUCAACUAUUCUUCUGCUCAUAGAAAAGAUAAUGAGAGAGAGACAUCACCGUCGUCACCAUCUCUCGGUCAAGUUUCUCUCUUUCUUCCUUCACUCCUACUCAUGAGUCAGUCAGGAUCAUGCUCUGCUCGAACAAUCAUUCAGUUAUUUUCCCCGGAGGACUGAAGAUACUGUUUCAGAAACACGACGAUCCAACUCUGAUUUUAAAACCGAACUCCGAGGUUUUGUUUGACAUCAAAAGACGUCGAAUCUUCAAUGCUCUGGUUUAGGAGGUAUGGUGACAGACACGAUGGUGGAGGAGAUUGGAUUGGAUUCUCAUAUUCAGCCCAACAAAAAGCCCAUUCACCUACCCAUUAAGAAACAGGUCAAUUUCUAUCCCUUCAUAAUUUUUUAAU